CCUACGGGAGGCAGCAGUGGGGAAUAUUGGACAAUGGGCGAAAGCCUGAUCCAGCCAUGCCGCGUGUGUGAAGAAGGCCUUCGGGUUGUAAAGCACUUUCAGUGGGGAAGAAAGCCUUGGGGCUAAUACCCUCGAGGAAGGACAUCACCCACAGAAGAAGCACCGGCUAACUCCGUGCCAGCAGCCGCGGUAAUACGGAGGGUGCGAGCGUUAAUCGGAAUUACUGGGCGUAAAGCGCGCGUAGGCGGUCUGAUAAGCCGGUUGUGAAAGCCCCGGGCUCAACCUGGGAACGGCAUCCGGAACUGUCAGGCUAGAGUGCAGGAGAGGAAGGUAGAAUUCCCGGUGUAGCGGUGAAAUGCGUAGAGAUCGGGAGGAAUACCAGUGGCGAAGGCGGCCUUCUGGACUGACACUGACGCUGAGGUGCGAAAGCGUGGGUAGCAAACAGGAUUAGAUACCCCUGUAUC
rnacentral:rRNA from 1 species